rnacentral:rRNA from 1 species
CUUCCGUAGGGGAACCUGCGGAAGGAUCAUUACCUAGAGUUGUAGGCUUUGCCUGCUAUCUCUUACCCAUGUCUUUUGAGUACCUUACGUUUCCUCGGUGGGUUCGCCCACCGAUUGGACAAAUUUAAACCCUUUGCAGUUGAAAUCAGCGUCUGAAAAAACUUAAUAGUUACAACUUUCAACAACGGAUCUCUUGGUUCUGGCAUCGAUGAAGAACGCAGCGAAAUGCGAUAAGUAGUGUGAAUUGCAGAAUUCAGUGAAUCAUCGAAUCUUUGAACGCACAUUGCGCCCCUUGGUAUUCCAUGGGGCAUGCCUGUUCGAGCGUCAUUUGUACCUUCAAGCUCUGCUUGGUGUUGGGUGUUUGUCUCCUGUAGACUCGCCUCAAAACAAUUGGCAGCCGGCGUAUUGAUUUCGGAGCGCAGUACAUCUCGCGCUUUGCACUCAUAACGACGACAUCCAAAAGUACAUUUUUACACUCUUGACCUCGGAUCAGGUAGGGAUACCCGCUGAACUUAAGCAUAUCAAUAAGGCGGAGGAA